CAAACAUGAACGUUAGUAGUAUAUGACAUUUGAAUUUAAAAGUAUGCUUAGUACUUAUAAACAUUAAAUACUUAGAAGAAGAAAGCAAAAAAGUCCAAACAUUUUCACAAAUUAUAAAUAGUAUCAAUAUUAUGACUUCAGCUCCAUCAGAUUCUGAAUCGAACCUUAGUGGCUUCAUAAGAUACAGUGAUAAAGAUUAUAAACGUUUAUACACAUCCAUGAUAGAAAACAUGGAGAUGAUAAAUCAAGACCUGCUACAAGUUGAAAAAAAUAUGAAGAAUAUAGUACAACAGUCAGGACCGCUGGAAAGUCAAUUGGCUGCUUUACUUCAGUCACUGCCGAAAAAAAUCUCUAAUGUACCCAUGGACACGGAAUAAUUCUUUCAAUUUAUCUUUAAGGCGUAAUGAUUAAAAAUUCCCAUUCAGAUUCUUGCAUCAAGAAAGUCUAGAUUUUUCUUUAUGCUGACGACUAUAACAGUAACACAGAUAGGUAAAAGAAACAAAUAAUAAGUGAAUAUCAUAAGAUAUAUCCUGACAUAUUGAUUAAAUAGGCCUAUUAGGUUAUUAUAACAUGUUCAGUUGUACGAAAAUUAUAUUGAUGAAUCUGAAUUAAAUUAAAAGACCUAUAAAAUUAAAAUUAUCAUACAUAUUUCAAUUGAGAUAUGUGGGAGCCAUAGUGCAUAUGAGUUUUAUGGAUCUGUCACACUUCUAAUUUACUAAACUAUAGAAAACAGAUUGUUAUUUUUUAAUAUAUAUUGCAAUUACUCCGCGUCUUCAACUGUCACAGGGAGUCCAAAUCUGUUGUGUACUGAUCACAAGUUUUCAUGGUCGAACUAACUAUUUACUAAUUAAAUUUCGUCAUCCAUAAAUCUUCAUCAUAGGUUUAUAAAGGAAAUUUAAGAAAUGUAUCCGUAAGACGCUAACUUAAACUAACUUACUGUAUCAUCUAAAGAAGCAAUUUUUGUAUUCUAUUAUGAUAUUAAAUAAUGUUUUAAAAAAAGUUA